AUGAAACUGGCUUUUAACAAAGGGGUGCUUGAUUUCACUUCAUGGAAUGCACCCACUCCAGAUCAAGAGCUUCUAUUUUGGAAAAAUGGGCAAUUUUGUUGUCAGGACUAUUCAUAUAGAAAUGUCAUUUCAGUGCUUGGUAAGACAUUUCCAUUUCCUGAUCUGCAGUUCUACUUCAUUCCAGGAAAGUACAGUGAGUGCCUGGAGCUAUCAUCCACCACAGGGCAGUGAUGGAAUCCCAUAGCCAGGAACACUUUUCUUCAGGGGCUUUUUUGGUAUCCCUCUGCCAUGAACAGUAUUUCUUUCCUGCCAAAAGCUUCCACUUCUAAUGAAAAUACAUCCUGCCUUUCAAGACUAGUAUUUUCAUGGCUGAUUCUCAACUGAUUGGGAGUUGCUAAAUCGAGUAGCCUCACAGAGGUGAGGCUGCUGCAGCUCCACACCCCUGGGUCCAGCAGACACAUCCACAAAUGUGUAAAAUGUCUGUGCACUGAUGGUUCCAGUGGCCAGCUCAGACAGAAACACUCAGCACUCAGAAAAACAGCACCAGUGGCCUCAUCCUGCUCCCUGCUCUGGCAGAUCAGGGUGAAGGUGUGUGAGUGCAAAAUAUUUUAAAAAAUCAUCAUAGAAUCAUAGAAUGGUUUGGGUUGGAAGGGACCUUAAAGAUCACCCAGUUCCAAUCCCCUGCCAUGGGCAGAGAUACCUUCCACUAGACCAGGUUGCUCAAAGGCCUGUCCAGCUUGGCCUUACAAAUAUUAUGGUCAUUUCCAAAUUUUAAAAUCAAAAUAUACACUUCCAGGUACUCCCACACAGGAAAUCCACAGGAGUGGCUUUCAGUUAUGGAAGAGACACUGGAACAGCAAUUAAGAUUGCAACUCUUGCACAGUUAACCAUUAUGGGCUAAAUUAAAAGUUGGAUGAAUCAUUUUCCAGCCAUAUAAAUCACUGAAGUUGUUCUAUCCAUCAUGAAGGUAAGCCAACCAUGUAAUGAAUUAUACGUGUUAUUUUCCUAUGCAUGUUAUUCCCAUAGUUUGUACUGUUGUUGAAAGUCUAUUUAUGUGAUGGGUUUUUUUUGCAAAUACUUUUAAAAUGAUGAAUAAUCUUUACUUCUAAGACUGAAAAUACAUGCCAGCUAUUAAUGUUUAUGGAAUCUGACAGCAGUUAAAGUGUUUGUAUCUGAACUUAUUUGACAGCUUCUUCAAACAGCUUUUACUAGGUAUUUUUUAUAGGAUUAAAUAUUCUUACAUUUGUGCAAUUUGUUCUAUAACGCAUGUGGUAGGGAAAGCAAAUGUGUUCUAGAUAUUAGACAACCAGUCUCAUGAGCAGCAACAGCUUUCCUCGUGAUCACUUUUUAUUGGAAGCCAAACAUCAUGGUCAAACUGUCACUGCAAAUUCAUAGAAGGACCGAUGAUUCUGAAUCCUGUGGAGCAAAAUAAAGCUCGGCAGAAAUUUAGGUGCUCCAGUGGAACAAGAUCCCAAAUGCUUGCAAUUUUUCUGUUACAAAUUCAUUUUAUUUGCAAGAAGUUGGCACUGGUUGUAGGCAGAGCAGGCCAGACCUUCACCUGCCCACACAGGCAGUGACACACAAGUCACCACAGUUUAUCAGGAUGUGGAGCUGAUCCAGACGCCUCUGCUCAGACUGUCCUGGAUUUUGUGCACACCAGCACCAGGGAGCUGUUUGUUGUUACCAAUGUGAUUUCUUAGCAUGAGGCACCACUUUGGCCUUGGUUUGAAGCGCCCUACAGGAAGCAGUGACCUGGCCCAAGGGAGCUGCUUCUCUGCUGGUUCUGGCACAGCUUCCACACAGGACUUCCAGACACUGCAGCUUUUUGUCCUGCGUGUUUGGUUGGCGAGUUUAGUAUAUCAGAUUUGCAAAGUCUGUGAAUAACUGACCCACAAAUUAUGAAUGCAGCAGGAAAGCUUGGAGUGAAGCACUGGGAGGUGGGCAACCAGGGGAGGAGCACAGGUAUGACUGCACUGGUUUGGCACAGCACAAUGUACAGCAUUGAAAGCUGAAAUCAAGAACUCUGCACGCAGAGUCUGAAGAUGUGGGAUUGGGAAGCAGCUCAGUGGUUCAUCCAUCCACGGGCUGGCAAAGAA
ensembl:lncRNA